rnacentral:rRNA from 1 species
AUUGAACGCUGGCGGCAUGCUUUACACAUGCAAGUCGAACGGUAACAGGUUAAGCUGACGAGUGGCGAACGGGUGAGUAAUGCAUCGGAACGUACCCGAUCGUGGGGGAUAACGCAGCGAAAGCUGCGCUAAUACCGCAUACGAUCUGAGGAUGAAAGCGGGGGACCGUAAGGCCUCGCGCGAUCGGAGCGGCCGAUGUCAGAUUAGGUAGCUGGUGGGGUAAAGGCUCACCAAGCCAACGAUCUGUAGCUGGUCUGAGAGGACGACCAGCCACACUGGGACUGAGACACGGCCCAGACUCCUACGGGAGGCAGCAGUGGGGAAUUUUGGACAAUGGGCGAAAGCCUGAUCCAGCAAUGCCGCGUGCAGGAAGAAGGCCUUCGGGUUGUAGACUGCUUUUGUACGGAGCGAAAAGGCUCUCUCUAAUACAGGGGGCUCAUGACGGUACCGUAAGAAUAAGCACCGGCUAACUACGUGCCAGCAGCCGCCGUAA